AUCAUUGUCGUAACCUUCAAAACAGACCCGUGAACAUGUUUAAAUGAUAAGUUUGCGGUCACGGCGUCGGAUUGCCUUGGCGUCCGACGUCACGACCUCGAACCCCAACCGGCACAAGCUGUUUGGGCGUGUACUAUAACCUCCCGGCGCGGCAAGCGCCAAGGAAAACUCGAACUGAUCACCUCUCCGUCGGGGUGCCGUACGUGUGCGGUACCCAUGAUGUGACGAGGAGCAUCUAUUGAAAUAAUAGUAGUCAUACAACGACUCUCGGCAACGGAUAUCUCGGCUCUCGCAUCGAUGAAGAACGUAGCGAAAUGCGAUACUUGGUGUGAAUUGCAGAAUCCCGUGAACCAUCGAGUCUUUGAACGCAAGUUGCGCCCGAAGCCAUCAGGCUGAGGGCACGUCUGCCUGGGCGUCACGCAUCGCGUCGCCCCCCGACAUCAUCGUUCCCGCCUACUGUCGGGAAUCGAUGCAUGAGAAUCGGGGGGCGGAUAUUGGCCUCCCGUUACCUCUGUGCAGCGGCCGGCCCAAACAGGAAGCCGUGUCGAUCGACGUCACACGAUACUUGGUGGUUGGAAUCCUCAACUCGGAACUAUCGUGCGGGACCACGUCGAUCCACGGUCGAAAGACCCAAUGGCUGCAGAUGCCCUCGACUGCGACCCCA
rnacentral:rRNA from 1 species